UACAAUUAAUGUUUAGUGCAGCAUUCUUGUUUCCUGGUCGCCAUUCUCUGCAAAACAAUGGGGUGUUUUGCCCAUGAAAUUACUGUUCUGAUUAGGAGGGAUAUGUCCGUCAUUAGACUUUCAAAUGCGAUCCUUCUGCGGCAACAGCGCUGGCAAUCCGGCUGAGAUUAUUCCAGCGAUAUUUCUGUUCCUGAAGGAAAUAGCAAGUGCAAAUAGGGCAAUUUUAUACACUUACCGGGGAAGGGGAUUUGCAUUGAUGGAUGCUGUUGUGUUCGCAGCAAUGACAGCUGGGGCUGGGACGCGCACAGGCUCCACCAGCUCGCAACUCUUGCUCUGUGUUUAUACGUAUAUAUCUCUGCGUAUGUAUAAUAAUCCACUUUUUAACAGGGGUCCGAGCUGGCCCAGACAGGACAGGCAGCUCUGCCAGCGCUGCGGCCUUGACCUUGAAAGCCCAGGGCCUUUGAAUUCAGAGCAGAUGUUCCGGGUUUCGCCAACACCAAAGUCCCAUCAGAAAUCCCCGUUGAGAGCGCAGAGCUGAUACAAAUUCCCACCGGAGAGUUCGAGGCUGGCAAUCAGCUUACUCAUUCCUGGCUUAUCAUCACAAACCUCUGACCUUCAAACAUGGCUGGUGCGGCGCCCGACCGAGAAAACUGAAAUCCAAACAGACCGGGAUUCACCAGCGCUUCCUUACUGCUGCCUGAAUCCUCUCUGAAAAUUCGUGGCCCCACCCGAGGACCCCCCUGGGGAUGCCAGAGCCUCCGGGUAACCCUCACCCGAUGCUGGCAGGGGGCUGGGUCCCACGGGUGGCCGGAGCCCACGUGCCACCUCUCGUGGGGUGUGUGUCUGAUUCUCCUCUGCAUUGCAAGCCCCAGAAAGUGAGGCUGGGGUUUGGGGGGGGAUGCUGGGGAGCAGGGUUGGGUUCUGUUACCCCUUGAAAGAGCCGCCUGUGCACCCCGGGAGCCUCGCGGAGGGCAGCCCCCGAACCUCAGGGCCGCCCCGAGCCAUGGGUGACGGGGAGCAGCAUCCCCCUCGGUGACAUUUCCCAUCGAGGGCAAGAAGAGGGGGACCCACGGAGUGGGGUGGGGUGGUGGUGGGGGGGGUGGUCCUCCCCCUGCCCCAGUAGGAUGAGGCAACUGGUGUGCCACUGGGAAUGGAGGAAUGCAACAAAAUUGGGGGGGAGGCGGGGGGAGAGGAGAAAUUAAUAAUUAUCUAAACCGCACCCCUAUCACUGUUCAUCAAAAUUUGCCCAUACUUCAUUCCAGCCUCCUUUCUUCUUCUUGCCUCCAGUAAGUACUUUAACAUCCUUUUUAAAAAUUAAAGGGGGAGGGUUAUGGAACAGAUAAGAGAUAAUUGCCUAGCUUUGACUCUUCUAUUGAUGUGAAAAUAGGAUUGGAAUUACUCACUCUGGUUGAAAGGUUAGUUGAAGGUUAUUACAGGAAAAUUGUUAUUCAUACAUUUUUUCUGUGCUGCUGGAUAGCCUAAAAGAUUAAAUUCACAGAGUGCAUAAUGACCCAUCACAACGGACAAUGGUGGGAAUAAUCUCCAGAGACUCCAGAUAACAGAACAGAGACUUCUUUGAAUAAUUCAUGGUUCAACAGACAUCCCUCACUAACAGAUUACAUUUUCCUCCUGACCUUCAUGCCAUGGGAACAAAACGCAAAGGGAUAAAGAAAGUCAUUGUUUGUGACAGUCCCCUCUCAUCCGCAUACUGCUGAUGGAGCAUCGGUUUCAGAUUCUGCCUCACACUUGACUGCCUUUAACACACAGGACGGGCGAGUGCUGCCAGCUGAGAACGAUGCUCAGGACAUCCCGGACCACCCGGCGCUGGGGGGGGAUGCUGACGGAGAUGCAGGAGGACCGAGGGUUGUCAUUUCCCAGCCCCUCCGCUGCUCGGCUCCCUCACCCAGCGCCAAAAUCGCCCACCGGCUCUGGCUAAUCUCUUCAUUUCAUCUCGUGGAAUAGCUAUUACGCUUUACAAGCUGAUCGUUUGUUAAAAGCACGUGUUUAUUAAGGUUUAAUGGAGGCCUGAUACACAUCAAUCGCAUUGUUGUGAGCUGCGACAAAUAUAUCUUAAAUAAUUAAUUGAUAUUUAGUAAACAUAUAAUAGUUAUCUUCUCCAAUCUAAAUUAAACAAGAAUUAAAGCUACAUAAU